rnacentral:rRNA from 1 species
AUUGAACGCUGGCGGCAGGCCUAACACAUGCAAGUCGAGCGGCAGCGCGGGGGCAACCCUGGCGGCGAGCGGCGAACGGGUGAGUAAUACAUGGGAAUCUGCCUGGUAGUGGGGAUAACUCUGGGAAACUAGAGGUAAUACCGCAUACGUCCUACGGGAGAAAGGGGGGGAUCUUCGGACCUCUCGCUAUCAGAGGAGCCCAUGUCCGAUUAGCUAGUUGGUGAGGUAAAGGCUCACCAAGGCGACGAUCGGUAACUGGUCUGAGAGGAUGGUCAGUCACACUGGAACUGAGACACGGUCCAGACUCCUACGGGAGGCAGCAGUGGGGAAUAUUGGACAAUGGGGGCAACCCUGAUCCAGCCAUGCCGCGUGUGUGAAGAA